AUUGAACGCUGGCGGCAGGCCUAACACAUGCAAGUUGGGCGAGCGGCGGACGGGUGAGUAAUGUAUGGGGAUCUGCCUGAUGGAGGGGGAUAACUACUGGAAACGGUAGCUAUACCGCAUACCAUCAGAUGAACCCAUAUGGCAUCAGCUUGUAGGUGAGGUAACGGCUCACCUAGGCGACGAUCCCUAGCUGGUCUGAGAGGAUGAGCAGCCACGCUGAGACAGAGAAACAGCCCAGACUCCGACGGGAGGCAGUAGUGGGGAAUAGUGCACAAUGGGCGCAAGCCUGAUGCAGCCAGGACGCGUGUAUGAAGAUGGCAUUCGGGUUGUAAGGUACAAACAGUCGGGAGGGGUUACCGACAGAAGAAGCACCGGCGAACGCCGUGCCAGCCGCCGCGGUAAUUC
rnacentral:rRNA from 1 species